rnacentral:rRNA from 1 species
AUUGAACGCUGGCGGCAGGCCUAACACAUGCAAGUCGAGCGAGCGGCGGACGGGUGAGUAAUGUAUGGGGACUGCCCGAUAGAGGGGGAUAACUACUGGAAACGGUGGCUAAUACCGCAUACUAUCGGAUAACCCAUAUGGGAUUAGCUAGUAGGGGGGGUAAAGGCUUACCUAGGCGACGAUCUCUAGCUGGUCUGAGAGGAUGAUUGGCCACACGGGGACGGAGACACGGCCCAGACUCCUACGGAGGCAGCAGUGGGGAAUAUUGCACAAGGGGCGCAAGCCGGAUGCAGCCAGGCCGAGUGUAUGAAGAAGGCCUUAGGGUUGUAAAGUACUUUCAGCGGGGAGGCGUUACCCUCAGAAGAAGCACCGGCUAACUCCGUGCCAGCAGCCGCGGUAAUUC